rnacentral:rRNA from 1 species
CUCGUAGGCGGUUCGUCGCGUCCGGUGUGAAAGUCCAUCGCUUAACGGUGGAUCUGCGCCGGGUACGGGCGGGCUUGAGUGCGGUAGGGGAGACUGGAAUUCCCGGUGUAACGGUGGAAUGUGUAGAUAUCGGGAAGAACACCAAUGGCGAAGGCAGGUCUCUGGGCCGUCACUGACGCUGAGGAGCGAAAGCGUAGGGAGCGAACA